UACGGGGGGAGCAAGCGUUGUUCGGAUUUACUGGGCGUAAAGGGCGCGUAGGCGGUCAGCACAAGUCAGUUGUGAAAUCUCCGGGCUUAACUCGGAAAGGUCAACUGAUACUGUGCGACUAGAGUGCGGAAGGGGCAACUGGAAUUCUCGGUGUAGCGGUGAAAUGCGUAGAGAUCGGGAAGAACACCGGUGGCGAAAGCGCUCUACUGGACCGUAACUGACACUCAGGGACGAAAGCUAGGGGAGCGAAUGGG
rnacentral:rRNA from 1 species